GCCCUCCAAAGCCUAUACCUGCAGAGCAGGAAACAACAAAAGCCUUGAUUUAUCCAGUGGCUGAAAAUAAAGUUCUGCAGGAGUUACCUUCUGCAAGCGGACACAGCUUCCUCCAGCAGGUGAUGCCACCCUCCUGUGUGUACUGGCCCAUGGUUGUUUCCAGCAGGAACAGAGCAGAGGUAAGGAAACCUCCAGACGUUGCCGAAGCCGACAACAUUUCCAGCCACGGCCAGCAGAAACUCCACCUUGCUCCCCCA